AGGCUAACCCGACCAAUUUGGAUAAGCAGAGGACACUCCUGUGUCAGCCGGCAAGGUUCAUGUACUUCAAUCACCUCGUACAUGUACUUCAAUCGCCUCGUGUGGUUGCCAAGUUCUCAGAGGCAGAUGAUAAUGGAGAAAAACAUAUUAUACCGUGUAGAGCUAUAUUAGGUAAUGUUGAGAAAGUAGUUACAGCGUCUCAACAGUAUUAUCCUUCUGGUAUUGAGUUCUAUACUGGUGCUUAUGAUCCCAAGAAUCAUCCCAAGUGUUAGGUUGUUUGGUCGAGUGUUAUGAACAGGCAUAUUAUCCCUGAGUGUGUUGUGAGCUUCAAAUCUUCUAUUAACGUGCAAGGCUGGCAAGUUGACCAAAAAUAUUUUCCUGAGUGUUGCAGGGGAUGUUGUUCUGCUAUCUUCUAACUGGGACAUUCGUAGCUUGGAAUAUGGUUUUCUGGGUUUUUUUUUUUUGGUGGAUAGAUAAGUGCUACUUUCAGAAAGGCGUAUCAAAAUGAUAGAACCACCAGCGAUUUCAUUUCACAGGAUUAUCAUAGAUUAGUGAUGAAAGAUUAUCAAGUGAAACUUCAAGAAUUACUUGAUGGUUUUUUCCCCCCCUCAAAUAUAGAGCAGCAACUUUUUUUAGAUAAAUGGUAAAUAUGCUUGCAAUUUCUUUUGGGUUAUUUCAAUAUAUCACUGAUUUUUUUGGUGGUCUCUGACAAUUUCAAACCUAAGGAAUUGCACAAGGCUGCUAUUAUGAUGUUGAAAAUGUGAUCCUGUAUUGUUAAUUGCAUACUAGUGUAUGCAAAGAAAGAUUCUGGAGGCGCAACAUCCAGUUUCUGUGUACAAGAAUAAUGUUUGUUUCAGAAUGCCUUGAUGAAUCUCUCUGCUCUAUAUUGCGUUACAAUUUUACUGAGGGCUUGGCGUGAGUUUGCAUCAAUUGCAUACAUUAUCAUAUGCAGGUGUUGUUUUGACAUGGUGUUGAGCAAAAUUUGAUUAAUAAUUUCUAGUACAACUAUGAUGAACAUGAAUUUAAACAUGAUCACCCUUGUUUAUAUUUAUUUGAGAUCUUUAUUUUAUUGAAAGAAUAUCUUCCACUUUGGAAAUCCUAUUAGUCAUUAUAAACUACCUUUUCCAUUAUGACUUGCAUUUAUGUGCUGGUGCUUUCAAGUUGUGAUAUCUGGGAAGAAGCGAGAUAUGAAUUACUGAUUGUGUAGUUGCCAGCGAAUUACAGCUUGCUAUUAUUUUUUGUCAUUGUAUGAAGAUUCAGUUGAACUGUGAAUUUUAUUUUGUGAGACUUUUGUUAAGAAGGAUAGAUGCUUUGCAUCAAAAAGCGAUUCUGCAAGUGAGUUGAAUGUUGUGAAAUUAUGUGGAUGAGUGGGCUCUCUCAUUGUUUAAAGAUAAUUUAUCUGCACUAAGAAAUGUUGAUUUUGGUUCUGUGAUAGCCAGAAACUAAAUUGGGAGGUAUUCAUUUUAAGAGAGCAAGAUAUAUCCAGUGCUGUAUUUGCUCAGCAAGUUAGCAUAGGCCUAACGAGCUUCCAGCGCCUAGAAUUCUCAAACACGGAAUGGUAUCAGAGGUGAAUACAAUGAGCUGAACCGUCAAUUUCUUUUUGUUGUGUUCAGAUCAUGAGAAAGGCAAGGAUGGAUUGUUCUGUUUUGCCUGUCUUUGCUUCAUCGUAGCUCUGGUAGCUAGAUUUCUGCUCCUUCAGAGCUGACUGUUGAUAAUGACUUCAACUGUAUUUGGGGAAGUCAUACUUUCAAGUUCAAUACAUGCUUCCUUUAAUAUAUGAGCAUUACUUAAGGAUGGAUUGUUCUGUUUUGCCUGUCUUUGCUUCAUCGUAGCUCUGGUAAUGAGAUUUCUGUUUACAGAGCUGACUGUUGAUAAUGACUUCAACUGUAUUUUGGGCAAGUCAUACUUUCAUGUUCGAUACAUGAUUCCUUUAAUAUAUGAGCAUUACUUCAUUUUAUCCAAAGCUUGGCAUUUUGGAGAGUGUGUUCAAAGUGGCACUUAUCGUGGUUUAUAUGUUCUGGUCAGAGAGAAAAGUCACAGCAGGUUGCUGGGAUGAGAUGCUGCCUUCCACAGUUAACUCAAUUGAAGUGCUUCUUUCAGUUUUUUGUUUUAUUAGGUAGCAUUUAGGACUACAGGCUAUGACAUGCAUAACCCAAAUUUUGCAUUUCUGAAUUAACUGGAGGUAGCAAGGAUUAGGUGAUGUCCCUAAGAUUCAAGAGGAAUUAACUGUUGUGUGUUGUGGUAUCGUGUUUCCCUUCUAUGAGAUUUUAUAUCUUAGCAACAAUACUUUUACAGGCUUCUUAUAUCUAGUUGUCUGUUACCCUUCUACUGAAACUAGGAGAUUUGAAAUGAUUUCUGAUCCAUUUACCUGUGGUAGUCUUUGAGGAUCUUUGGAAAACUUUAUUAGCGUGAAACAGUAGACUUCAAAGUUUUAUACAUGCGGUGAUGUGACUGCAUGAUCUGUUUUUGAAUAAUCUAUAAAAUCUAUUUAACUGUACAUAACAACUUCAACUCUAUGCUUUUGUUUUACAAGUUUCUAUGGCGUUGCAGAGUUAAGAUGAUAGAGGAUACUAUUGACUCCCUUCCCUUCGUCAUGUCUGCUGAGACAUUAUUUUAGUGGCUGCCCUGUAGCUGACUGGGCUAGCUGGCAUGCAUCAACUGGUGUUUAAGGGCUAGUGGAGUUAAUUGUCAGGGGUUCCACUGACACGAAAUUGGAGCAAUGGAGUCCAAAAACUCUCUUCCAAAGUCCUCUUGGGAAACUUCUGCUCCUUUUUAUAAUUUUCGUGAAGUUUUCUUUUUUUUUUUUGAAAAAACAACAUUUUUGCAGAAAGUUGAAGCAUCUGGUUAGUUUACACAA